ensembl:snRNA U6 U6 spliceosomal RNA
GUGCUUGAUGCAGCAUCACAUAUACUAAAAUUGGAGCAAUACAGAGCAGAUUAGUAUGGCCCUGUGUGAAGCUAACACACAAAUUUGUGAAGCAUUCUAAAUUUUU